rnacentral:lncRNA from 1 species
AACAGAAAACAGAGUUAUUGUAACUAGAUUGCCAGAGAGCAGAAAAUUUACCAGGGAGAAGGCCUGGAAGUUAUACCAGAUCAACUCAAAAUUACAGUUUUUCAGAGCUUAUAUACCUUCUAAGCUAUACGUCUACGUGUAGUUGUGCGUUCAUCUAAAGACGCUGUGAAGUCAAAAGGAAAAUGUAAGAGGCUGCCGAGUUCUCAGAGUGGGAUGAAUAGAAUCAUUCAUGUUCAUCUGGAGAGAAACAAGUUUUCCUGUGACUGAAUAUU